AUCAGUUGAAGAUUACAAAGCAUCUUAUUGAAAUAAAUGAGAACUCUGAAUGGCAUAGAAAGAUUGAGAUGGGGAAGCUGAGGCUUAGAGCAGUUAUGACUCGCCCAAGAUGACAAGCUUGGUAUUGAGAUGAGCAACUCCCAUGGAUCAGGGCCCACCGUCCUCACCACCACCCUGUCAUUGACGGGCAUGCACCCUAAGGACCAUGGAAGCAGCAGCAUCCCACAGACCCCUGGCUCUUCCUGUAGCCCAACCCUACUGUAGUUAAUAUCCAGGAAAACACUUCUUGUGAAGAAAAGGGCAGAUAUCCCCACCAACUGCAACUUAUGGGGUCAACUAGGCAGCUUAAUUGAAGAAGCAAGUAACCUUGAGGGAGAGAUAGUCAGGAUAUCCCAGGCAAGUCAAACUACUGCCACCAUCUUGAUUAGCACCUUCCCUUGGACCCAGUUCACUAAGCUCAAGGGCCUUGGGAAUAGAAGCAACCCUUAGGCCAACCAUCAUUAAGGAUAGCAACUCUUUAGAUGCUUACUGCUUCUGCACGGACUGAAGCCUCUCCCUCCUCAGGAGCCACAGCCGUUACAGAGCUAGAAAAAAAGUUCUCACCACCACAGAAUGGUUCAACAUGAGAAAUAAAUAUCUUAUAAGUAGAAAUGUCACUAAAUAAGAUGCAUGCUGCUGUACGCAGCUGUACACCAGGAGCCAUGGUAUUUUUCUAUCAGACGUGCAGCCUAAAUCUCUUA